rnacentral:misc_RNA from 1 species
GAUUAAGAACGUAGCGAAAUGCGAUAAGUAAUGUGAAUUGCAGAAUUCAGUGAAUCAUCGAAUCUUUGAACGCACAUUGCGCCCAUUAGUAUUCUAGUGGGCAUGCCUGUUCGAGCGUCAUUAAGUCCACUUAAGCCCUGCUUAGUGUUGGGAGACUGCUCCAGCGGUGCUACCCUGUAGCUACCCUGCAGCUCCUCAAAGACAGCGGCGGAGUUGUGGUAACCUCUGAGCUUAGUAACUUGUUCUAGCUUUCGAGUACACCACUUCCCCUGCCGUAAAACCCUUAAUUUUUAAUGGUUGACCUCGGAUCAGGUAGGAAUACCCGCUGAACUUAAGCAUAUCAAUAAGCGGAGGA